rnacentral:misc_RNA from 1 species
CCGAGUUUACAACUCCCAAACCCCUGUGAACAUACCUGGACGUUGCUUCGGCGGAUCGCCCCGGCGCCCGCCGGGGGACCCAAACUCUUGUUUUUCGCCUCGGCGGGAUUCCUUCUGAGUGAGCGAGCAAAUGAAUCA